GAUGAAGAACGUAGCGAAAUGCGAUAAAUAAUGUGAAUUGCAGAAUUCAGUGAAUCAUCGAAUCUUUGAACGCACAUUGCGCCCGCCAGUAUUCUGGCGGGCAUGCCUGUUCGAGCGUCAUUUCAACCCUCAGGACCCUUUGGACCUGGUGUUGGGGCUCGGCCGCUACCCCGCGGCCGUCCCCGAAAGAUAGUGGCGGUCUCGCUGUAGCGUCCUCUGCGUAGUAAUUACACCUCGCACUGGAACGCGGCGCGGCCACGCCGUUAAACACCCCACUUCUCAAGGUUGACCUCGGAUCAGGUAGGAAUACCCGCUGAACUUAAGCAUAUCAAUAAGCGGAGGGA
rnacentral:misc_RNA from 1 species